GAGUGUGGGGCUCGGCUGCCACUCCUCCAGACUUCCAAAUCCACCACCGGAGCCCCAAUGGCUGCCGCCGGGGACCUCAAGUCGGAGUACCCCCAGGUCCUGCUCAACCGCCACCGCGAACACCGAGCUCGUGGCGACCCAGUCCCAGUGCCUCUGAGCAUGGAGUAAGGGAGUCCGAUGAAGGACCUAUUGUACCAAGGCAACCGUCCUGUGUCUCAGAAAGAUCAGGAACCUCCAUCGAUCUGAGCAAACACAUUCCAUCUUCCAGAUCGAAGUUAUUGUGUCGAUUCUGCUGUUUUUUUUGAAGACAUGGAGUCGUACCCAAGGAAAAAGGUGGAGAACUUCGAGGAGAAGCCAGUUGAAGAAAAUUUCUACUUGUUUACUGAGGUACCUUUUGGCCCAUACAGUUCUAUGAUCAAUCGAUUGAUUCGUUGCAGGUGUUAAGUGGAUACAGUGCACAAUGCACACUACUUGCAUCUUCGCAGUUGAAAUUGAGAUCAGUGAAAACCAACUACAUUUGAGCAGCCCAAAAGGUAAUAGAGGAGCAAUAAUAGUAAUCUGUGUUUUGUUAGGUGCCUGUUUCAUGUCAAUGCUUGUCAUAUACAAAUACAGAUUGGUAUUGCAUACAUGUGCUUCAGUUAGCACAUUUGCUCUCAUGUUACCACUCAGACCCUGUGUCUUGGUCCUUGAGUGCAAAGGAAAAAGGAUACAAUCCGUCAAAUUUUAGUCCUGAAGCAAGUAUACUCUUGGCUAUAGAAAGUUCAUCAAUUUUUCUUCAGUGCACAACGUCAAAAAAAAUAUAGCGACGCAUAAGCCUGAAGUUAUCAUCAGUAUCUUGCACCAAUAGUACAGGAGCACCAUGUGAAAUAUUGGAAUGUAUUGAAACAUACCACUAUACCAGGCCUUGUUUUAUCAACAACAGGGACAUACAAAAUUGUUCCUAAAUUCAGGAAUAACUGAAACAUAUCGGCGUCACUCUGUACUCUUAGACCAAAAGUUCCUAAAUUCAGUAAUAACUGGAACAGAUCAGUGUUACUCUUAAAUCAAAAAUAUUUACUCUAGUUCAACAGAACAGAACAGAUCACCCAUAGUUCAAGGGAGUCUAGUGGCAUUGUUACAAAGUACUCAUUUACUCUUAGAAAAAAUGACACUGCAUUUUUUUACAUUCAGAAAUUAGCUGCUCCGACUACAGACCGAGUGUUCAACAUGCAGCUGCUUACAUACACUGAGAAUACACAUAUACUACUGCAUAGCUCACAACCAUGCACGAGUGUUGUCACUACCCGGGUCAAUAGCAGCAAUCAACAGUCCUCAUUAGCAAUAAACAAAACAAAACAAAACAAAAAAUCCUGCAUAGUCCACCCAUUGUCGCAUGCACACUUGUCAUAAUUUUUUCUGAACCAAACCAGCAAUUAAUGACGAAACUCCUCAUACAGAUGUAUCCCUACAAAUACUAAAUCAAACUUAAACGAAAGAAAGUCACUAAGACCAAUUGUCAUGCAACCAGCCAAUAAGAGAAAAGAAACACAUGCCAAGAAACAUUAGUCAGUGGGAAUCGAAAUGAAAGCCUAUGCAUUCAUUAAUUGGCUCUCAGGAGACCCAAAUGCAACUCGCAUGCAGAUGAAUGAAGUGAGACAAAUAGCAGGUCCUAAGCUAUAAACGUGUAAGAUUAUGAAGUUGUCCUAUCAGUUCGUUUUUAGAUAUCAGCAAGAAGUUUUGUGGGUAAGAAAGUUUUCAGUAAGCUGAAGAGUCUUGUGCUUAGAAAGCUUAUCUUCUGCAAGCGAGAAAGAAGAACCAGAACACCACGGCUGCACCAGAGAUCGAGGUAAUCCUGCCAUCGAGAGGACAUGGAAAGGGGGGCGUCGCUGAACCUGUGCAGAUGGGUUGAAGUUGUGCUGGCGAGACGGCAUGUUGCAUAGCUGCCAAGCUAAUGACCGAGACGCUUGAUCCAUACUCGGCCAGGAAGAAAGAGCAGCUUCUAUUUGUGCUUCCACCUUCCCACGGUGGUACUGGUGUUCCAUACGGCGAGCGGCAGCUUUGCUAGCUCCUGCACUAUUCAUGCUUCCAUAUCAAGAGUUGGCUGCAGGUCUGGUCAUCCAGAUCAGGGGCCAGCAGCAUUUGAUUCCCGUGGUAAAAAGAGGCGCCCGCUCCUAAUGCAUACCUGCUGCGGCUGCAAGGAAAGGGGAAAAUUGGGAGAUGAGUAGGAAAGAGGCAGGGGGAGAAAGCCAUCAACCUUAUUAGCGGGGGAACGCACCAGCGACCGAAGGCGGCGCGGUUCAUCUCGACGACGGCGGCACACCCGCGCUCGCGCGGGAGGAUGACCACACUGCGGAGGAGUCGCACAGGGCAGGGAGAGCCCGUGACCGGCGAGCGACCUAGGAUAGAACCCCAUGCACUCCAUGGAGAAAUCGGCGGCGCUGGAUCGGACAUCAACAGGGCAGAGCUCACGCUGUAUUCAAUGGGAGGGGCGUCGGGAGAGAAGGAGCCGGGAUUAUGGCGCAGCCGAGAUGGAAGACACACAUGGAGUGGGGCGUUUUUAUAGAGCCAAACAGCGGCCAAGCGGUGGAACGGGCUUUACGGGAUCCUUCGAGAGACCAGGCGAAAUAUCUCGAGAGAGAGUCAAAGAGGACAGGUGGUGGAGAGAGACCGAAGCCAAUCCACGCGUCGUACGCUUCCUACUCCUGAGAUUUCUACUCCAGACAAGUUUGACUGGUAGAUGGUCAAAGCGGUGGGGGUAGAACGUGGCAAACCAAGGGAAUGGAACACCCUGUCACACGCAUCAAUUCUAUAGCAGCAGUAAAAAGUUCAAAAAAACCAGAAAAAUCGAACCCUUACAGGCCUAGUAUUCUUAGUAUAUUUGAUACAGCCAUCACAUCUCAUACAUCAUCGCAUCUCAUACAGGCAUCACAUCUCAUACAACCAUCGCAUGAACAGUUUACUCCUAAUGCGAUUGCUUUCACAGAAAAGUAUGAGGCCCAACCCACAUGAGAAAGCCAAUGCACGUGACUGCACUUUAACCUGUUACAGUGAAAGAGUAGAUGCAAUUUUAGAUGGCUUUCACAUAACUGGAGAAAAGAUUCAGAAGUAGGCAAGCAUGCUAACCAUCAAUAAGAGAAAACUGAUUUCUAACUUCUAAGAGUAUAUAACCAGGAGAUCCAAAUACCUAUUCUCUCAAAGCACCACUUCUUCCCAUAGGCAUCACACUGUAUCAAUGUUAUGACAAAAGGGCAGUUUCAACACCCUACAGAAGAGAUGGUGCAGACACUAACGGUUAAACGCUUACAGAGGUUUAUGCACAAGGAGAAAACUGUGUAUAUUGUGAUGAAACUGCAAGUAAACUACCAAGUCAAACAAAAUCGUGUGUAUGCGCCUCAGGACAUCCAAAAUUGUAUGCGCUUCAGGACAUCCAAAAUCGUGUGCUUCUGUUUGCAGGCAUAGUGAGCGCAGAAGAAUACAAGUCUGUUCAAAGCAACAGAAUGUAUUAGUUACUUGACAAGCCAGAUGAGUUUCUGUAGUUACCUAUUUUUGUUCUAUCAAUUCGUAAGAUAAUGCAUCAUCUCAAUCUGAUAGGUGUAAAUGAUCAUGUAAUCUAAUAACAGUAUCGAUGUUUGGCUUUGUUUGGCGACUGGAAUUUUCUAUUGCGGAAAGUUACUGAUCAUGGUACAUUAGAAUCGCCAAACUGAACAGGUGGAUUCAGUACAUUAUUGAAUAUACAUCAGUUCCUUCUGCGCUUUUACAAAUGUAGUUUUGGAAAAUCACACACAAACUAUUCAGUUUCUUACUCCUCAUCAACCGAAUGCAGCUCUGUAAGCUAACCGGAUCAGCUAUUGUUUUCUUUAAGUUCAUUUUUUAGCGCCAAUGGAGCAUGACGUUUGAAGAUAUGGAGGCGCCAAAUCUGUGCCGACCCCCUAUUGGUGAUGCCUCUAAUGGAGCCCCUCUUGGUGACAUCUCUAAUGUUGAUCAUCAUUCCCGAAUGACUCCAGUGCCAAUGCCAGCCUCACACGACCUUACCCCUUAUGGAUCUCACUGCCAAAGGGUAAAUCUUGCUAGCAAUACCAACAUAGCAAGGAAAAAGAAACGAUCAAUGCGAAAAAUGCCAAUUGAUGCCAUCUUAGCGGCAUCUCCACUAUCAAUCAACUCCCCAAAUGGAGUACAGUAAAAUUGUUCCACAGGAACUAUCGCAGACUGCGACAUCUGACCUUAACAUGCCAGAUACGGUUCAUGAUGAUGGAGAACAUAACAGGAACUCAUCAAUAGAAAAAGGGGCAUUCUAAACAGAAAAAGGAGAAAAAAGAAAAGGAAAGCACAUCACUCCCAGCCUAACGGUCAAACGUGUUUAUGAACAUGAUGCAUUGAGGGGACAGUUAAAAGUCACAAAAGGUAAAUGUGUCCCCAGUUUUGAAUGAUUACAUACUUGCUAAAUUACUUCUUCUUAAAGUUGUUACUGCUGCUGCUGAUGGAUCCACUUAAUGAAUUAGACUAACUAUUUGUUUUGGAUUGUA